CAGUCAUAUCAUAUUAAAAUACUGAUUCUCUUACAAUCUCAGAAGUUAAGCAACUUCAACCCUGGACAGUACCUAGAUGGGUGACCACUUGGGAAUACCAGGUGUUGUAAG